UCCUGUCACCUUCAGGUCAAAAUGCCUGAGUUUCCUCAUCAGCAUUCAGUAAUUCAGAGGUUCGGUAAUGAAACGGUAAUUUAGAUCAGGUGCUGGAGAUGGGUUGCAUCUAGGACAGCAGCUCUGGAAGGCUGGACUUCGUUACCUCUGCUCACUGAUUGGCCAGUUCAUACGACGCCUGCAGCUCAUCUUCACUACAUAACAUUUUAACAUUUUUGACCAGAAUACUAACUACUCUUUUUCACAUUCUCAGAGGAUAACCUGGAACCUUUAAGUGGAGCUCAGGCACCUGGGGAACCUUUUAGCCUGAACACCCUGGGAAGGAAAGCAGAGAGUGCUGCACUAAUAUUCCUCCAUGACUGGUUUGAAGAAUCACUGGCAGGAAACGACAAUCUGACAGCACAGAGUUUUUAUGAACUGCUGUUUUAUUGGUUUCUUGGAGGGAACAGUGAAGUUGAUGCCACUGCUGCCUGCCUUGCAACAAGAAGGGUUUGAACACGGGGCUGAAGUUAUUUAAAUGAAUAAACGGAGUUUGGAGACUCUGCAGUGUUUAUUGUUUCAGAUUAAAAGCGCAGCGUGAUGCAUGACCACGACCAGCAGAAAAAACAAAUCCUUCAUUGCUUUAAGCUGCUGAAUUCCCUCAUCUGUUUUACCUUGGAUAAAUGUUUGAGGAAACUUCAGAUUUCUGCUGUUUAGACAAAAUCAAUUAACAUCUAAACAUGUGGAGCUUAAGCCAAACAAACCCAUAAACGCAACAAACAGAUCAAAUAUAAUGAGCAACUGUUGGAAAGGUUACAGUUUCCAUAAUAACAUUUUAAAUAAAAAUGUAA